GGCAGGUGAGGAAAGGGGGCCAUUGGGGGCCCUGAGGCAGGAGCAGUGCUGGAGCCCUUCACUGCUAGGGACACACAUGGACUCAAAGCCAGGGGGCAGCUGGAGAAAUUUCCCCUCCAUCGGAGGAGCACACUCUGAAUUCCAG